rnacentral:rRNA from 1 species
AUGCGUCUGAUUAGCUUGUUGGCGGGGUAACGGCCCACCAAGGCGACGAUCAGUAGGGGUUCUGAGAGGAAGGUCCCCCACAUUGGAACUGAGACACGGUCCAAACUCCUACGGGAGGCAGCAGUGAGGAAUAUUGGUCAAUGGGCGAGAGCCUGAACCAGCCAAGUAGCGUGCAGGAAGACGGCCCUAUGGGUUGUAAACUGCUUUUAUGCGGGGAUAAAGUGAGCCACGUGUGGCUUAUUGCAGGUACCGCAUGAAUAAGGACCGGCUAAUUCCGUGCCAGCAGCCGCGGUAAUACGGAAGGUCCGGGCGUUAUCCGGAUUUAUUGGGUUUAAAGGGAGCGUAGGCCGUCUGAUAAGCGUGUUGUGAAAUGUCGGGGCUCAACCUGGGCAUUGCAGCGCGAACUGUCAGACUUGAGUGCGCGGGAAGUAGGCGGAAUUCGUCGUGUAGCGGUGAAAUGCUUAGAUAUGACGAAGAACUCCGAUUGCGAAGGCAGCCUGCUGUAGCGCAACUGACGCUGAAGCUCGAAAGCGUGGGUAUCGAACAGGAUUAGAUACCCUGGUAGUCCACGCGGUAAACGAUGGAUGCUCGCUGUUUGCGUCUGACGUAAGCGGCCAAGCGAAAGCGUUAAGCAUCCCACCUGGGG